rnacentral:rRNA from 1 species
UACGAAGGGGGCUAGCGUUGCUCGGAAUCACUGGGCGUAAAGCGCACGUAGGCGGCUUUCUAAGUCAGGGGUGAAAUCCUGGAGCUCAACUCCAGAACUGCCUUUGAUACUGGAGAGCUUGAGUCCGGAAGAGGUGAGUGGAACUCCGAGUGUAGAGGUGAAAUGCGUAGAGAUCUGGAAGAACACCAAAGGCGAAGGCAGCGUCCUGGGAAGUGACUGACGCUCAUGUGCGAAAGCUAGGGGAGCGAACGGG